rnacentral:rRNA from 1 species
UACAGAGGUCUCAAGCGUUGUUCGGAUUCAUUGGGCGUAAAGGGUGCGUAGGUGGCGCCGUAAGUCGGGGUGUGAAAUUUCGGAGCUUAACUCCGAAACUGCAUUCGAUACUGCGGUGCUUGAGGACUGGAGAGGAGACUGGAAUUCAUGGUGUAGCAGUGAAAAUGCGUAGAGAUCAUGAGGAAGACCAGUGGCGAAGGCGGGGUCUCUGGACAGUUCCUGACACUGAGGCACGAAGGCCAGGGGAGCAAACGGG